AUUCGGCGAGUAGGCUCUAAGGGGGCGUCGCCCUGUCCAAAGCUCUGCGAAUACUUGGCUCCUUUUGGUGAAGAGAAUUAAUAAAAAAAGAAUAACUUUUCAUAUUUAGAAUCUCGACUGAACGUACAUACUCUUUCGUUCUUCGAUGUGUAAAUAAAAUUAAAUUGGACACUAUU